GGCUCGACUCUCCCACCCUUUGUGAACGUACCUCUGUUGCUUUGGCGGCUCCGGCCGCCAAAGGACCUCCAAACUCCAGUCAGUAAACGCAGACGUCUGAUAAACAAGUUAAUAAACUAAAACUUUCAACAACGGAUCUCUUGGUUCUGGCAUCGAUGAAGAACGCAGCGAAAUGCGAUAAGUAAUGUGAAUUGCAGAAUUCAGUGAAUCAUCGAAUCUUUGAACGCACAUUGCGCCCCUUGGUAUUCCGGGGGGCAUGCCUGUUCGAGCGUCAUUACAACCCUCAAGCUCUGCUUGGAAUUGGGCACCGUCCUCACUGCGGACGCGCCUCAAAGACCUCGGCGGUGGCUGUUCAGCCCUCAAGCGUAGUAGAAUACACCUCGCUUUGGAGUGGUUGGCGUCGCCCGCCGGACGAACCUUCUGAACUUUUCUCAAGGUUGACCUCGGAUCAGGUAGGGAUACCCGCUGAACUUAAGCAUAUCAAUAAGCGGAGGAA
rnacentral:rRNA from 1 species